ACCUUUAUCCUGCGCUGUAGUAUUGCUGCCCUCUGAUACGGUCCGACAGAACCAAACCAAAACACCUCCAUAACAAUGAUGUGACGGAAAUGUAUCUGGCAUUGGCAAAGGAGCACGAGUUUGUUGAAGGAUUUAUUGAUAAAUAUUGUGAGUUCGAGUGUCUUUGGUGCACAAAAUGCAAAGAUUACAGUAAUAAAGUGAAAAGGGCCAAAGCCAUUGAAGAUUUGGCAGAACAUAGCUGGGCAUUUCAUCCGGAUGCCAACCCGGAUUGGGUGGGUAAAAAAAAAAACUAAAUUUACACACAGUCUUCCUAAAGGAACAUAAGAAGAUUGAGUCUUCAAAGAGAUCGGGUGCCGGAGCCGACCAAGUGUAUGAGACCACCCUCUGGUAUUAUGAUCUCCUUACGUCAGGAGUCACAGAGGACUGGAUUCGUCCUAAUGGUGUAGAGCGAGGCAGAGGACAUGCUGCCGACUGUGGAUGAAAGUACGCAGCCAGUAUCGCAUCACAGUACCGAGCCAGACCAACCUCCAACCCCAGACCUCUCUCUAUUAGUGAAGACUCCAGGCCCAUCGAAUGAACCUCCCACUGCACCCACCCCACCACAACCCCCCUCUAAAAAACUGUGCUGCAAGGCCGCAACAGAGGAGGAAUUUAUGAGCCAGGCAGAGCAGGUUCCAAGAAGGCCCCCCCGACCGAUUUGAUGCAUUUGCAACCUAUUUGGCAGAUGGUUUACGCCAGCUGGCUCCAAACCAACAAAUGACAUUUGAGCGACUAAGCAGCAAGCUCUUGUUUCAAGGGCGUUUAGGGUGCCUUAAAAUUGACAGCCAAAUAGUUGGCCUUGGUCCUUUACCUGAAACAGCAAACCUACUCCCCCACCCUCCUGUCUGAGUGCCUCCUCGCCCCUUGCUGGCAAUGAACCCCUUUCCACCCCGCUCAUCAUUCACUUCUCCCCCAACACCCUUACCAGUCCCUUCCUCAUGCCAAGAUCCACCAGCAUUUAUCCCAGCAUCCUCCUCACAACCUGCUCAUCCACCCAGCUAUAGCCACCUGUAUACGUCAUUACUGGAGGAAGACCAGGAGUCUCCACUUUUUGAAGACCUAUAAUCAAGUAUUCCCCAAUUUUACCUUUCCCAAUAGGU